rnacentral:tRNA from 1 species
GUCCUUAUAGCUUAAAUGGUUAGAGCGUUAAAUUGAAGAUUUAGUAGUAUAGGUUCAAUUCCUUUUAAGGACA